AUUAAAAAUGUGGCAAGCAGGGCGCCCAGAUGGCUUGGUCGGUAGAGCGGGCGCCCUUGUGUAGAGGUUUACUCCUCGAC